rnacentral:rRNA from 1 species
AUGCAGGUGGUUUGGUUUAAGUUACAGAUGUGAAAGACCCGGGGCGUCAACCUACGGAAUAGCAUUUGAAACUAGGCAGACAGAGUACUGUAGAGGGGGGUAGGAAGUUUCAGGUGUAGCGGUGAAAUAGCGUAGAGAUCUGAAGGAAUACCGGUGGCGAAGGCGGCCCCCUCGGACAGAUACUGACACUCAGAUGCGAAAGCGUGGGGAGCAAACAGGAUUAGAUACCCCUGGUAG